rnacentral:rRNA from 1 species
UACAGAGACCUCAAGCGUUAUCCGGAAUCAUUGGGCGUAAAGCGUACCGAUAGGUGGUUUAUUAAGUCUUGGGUAAAAGCCGGAAGCUUAACUUCCGCGUUUGCUUAAGAUACUAAUAGACUAGAGGGGCAAAGAGGUGCUUGGAACGAACGGUGUAGUAGUGAAAUGCGUUGAUAUCGUUCGGAACACCGAAAGCGAAGGCAGAGCACUGGGUGCCACCUGACACUGCUAGGACGAAAGCGUGGGGAGCGAAUGGG